ensembl:lncRNA LINC00635 long intergenic non-protein coding RNA 635
UGUGUGGUCUCUUCAGCAUAGCAACAGCAGCGUAGCUGAACAUCUUACGGAUGGCCCAGGGCUCCAAAGGCUCGUUUCCUAAGUGAGAGAGAGCCUGGCUGAAGCUGUAUUACCAUUCAUUCUCCAGCCUCCGAAGUCUCAAAGCAUCACUUCCACCAUACUCUAACUGUCAAGACAAACACAAAGGCCCAGAAACUGCCAGACUGUCUUCUGAAGUGGCUAUAAUAUUUACACUCCCAUCAGCAGUGUAGAAGGGGUCUCACUAUGUUGUCUGGAGUGCUGUGGUGGAGUGGAGUGGCUAUUCACAGAGCCUGUUCUGCUGGGACACAGAAUCACUUGCUCCAUCUCAUACAUUGAUGAUGAUUAAUUUGUAUGUGUACCUUCCAAAAAAGAUGGUUGUGUUUGAAUGGAGGCCUUCUGGACAGGAAAAUUGCAAAGUACAAUUAACAUUUGAGUCUGUCUGAGUCAUGAAGAAAUGGAGAUUACUGAAAAUAAUUCAUUUUGGUAUCUUCUUACAUCCUGAGAGACUAAUCUUUCCAAGUUCAUCUGAGGCUCCUCUUCUCCAUGACAACCUCAUCCAGGGAUUUCUUCCUGUCCUGGUGUUUUAUGACAUGUGGAAGGGGACUGUAGCAGGUGAUCUCCAAAGUCUCUGGAGACUUACUAAUGUGCAUCCUCAUCUCGCUUGUAAGGAUAAUAGCCUUCCUCCAAACCUCACACACUUUUGGAGGAGAUCACUUUUUUUAAAGUGCAUGGAAAUGUUUUGAAACAGUGAAAUCUAUAAUGAUAGGUUUCAUAAUUCUAACAUCCACACCAUAUGAAUCACAUCCUUCCUGAGAUAAUGAGCACACAAUUGCCUGGAUACCUGAAGGAAUGGAGACAGCGGCAGAAAACACUGCAGAGAGGUGGAAACAUCCGUUAAUAUUUUAAAAUCCCAUUACUGCUACCAACAAUAAUAAUGGAUGCAUAGAAAUAGAUCUGGAUUAGCUGAGCUUGAAACAGUCCAUCUCACACACACACAAAAGAAUUUCAGAUACAGUGAACCCACAUGUUGAAGCUUUCUAGUAUAAUAAAAAUUUCAACUGUUCUGUUGAAUCAUCUGCCUGAUUGGAGGCUACAGAAAAGAUGUCAUCUUAGGAGUGCUUGCUCUGAGUGAGGCUCAUCUUCAAAUCUGAAUGACCACAAGGAGAUUUGAUUAUACAUGUGAACACCUCAGAAGGCACAGCCCACCCAGAAGGCAGACAGGUCAGGCUGCUUUUUCUUCAUUGCUUGGAUUCAAUCCUCCGGGCGGCUCAGGCUCAAACAUAACUUAAGCAUGAUUAAACUUUAGAAGAAGCUGCCAGGAAGACUGUGAAAUCUUCAUGCCCAAGGAUCCCUAAAAUUAGGAGCAACAACCACUUGGCUCAGACGGUUUAUGGAGGCAAAGGUUUGGAUGGGAUUAGAGAUUUCUAAAUGUGAGUUCGUGUCCUCUGCCAGACCACCUUACUUCCACCAUUCCUCAGCAAAUCAAGAAAAACAGGAGAAAAGACAUGCCUUUCCAUAAGUUAAAUCUAUUCUGUUUUAAUUCUAUAUUAUAUCUGCUGUACAACUUCUUUUGUUUGUAACACCAUAUUGUUGCUAGUAACUGGAAAUUAAUUUUCACAUGCCUCAGCUUAGAAAAAUAAAAAGCAGCCCUGCAUCAAUCCCAA